ACUAUACUGAGCUCUUUAGGAUGAUG
rnacentral:piRNA from 1 species